rnacentral:rRNA from 1 species
GAUGAACGCUGGCGGCGUGCCUAAUACAUGCAAGUAGAACGCUGAAGGAAGGAGCUUGCUCUUUCCGGAUGAGUUGCGAACGGGUGAGUAACGCGUAGGUAACCUGCCUGGUAGCGGGGGAUAACUAUUGGAAACGAUAGCUAAUACCGCAUAACAGUAGAUGUUGCAUGAUAUCUACUUAAAAGGUGCAAUUGCACCACUACCAGAUGGACCUGCGUUGUAUUAGCUAGUUGGUGAGGUAACGGCUCACCAAGGCGACGAUACAUAGCCGACCUGAGAGGGUGAUCGGCCACACUGGGACUGAGACACGGCCCAGACUCCUACGGGAGGCAGCAGUAGGGAAUCUUCGGCAAUGGACGGAAGUCUGACCGAGCAACGCCGCGUGAGUGAAGAAGGUUUUCGGAUCGUAAAGCUCUGUUGUAAGAGAAGAACGAGUGUGAGAGUGGAAAGUUCACACUGUGACGGUAGCUUACCAGAAAGGGACGGCUAACUGCGUG